UUGCCAGCCCGCUCAAGAAACUUAAAGGAAUUGACGGGGGCCCGCACAAGCGGUGGAGCAUGUGGUUAAUUCGAAGCAACGCGAAGAACCUUACCAGGCCUUGACAUGCAGAGAACUUUCCAGAGAUGGAUUGGUGCCUUCGGGAACUCUGACACAGGUGCUGCAUGGCUGUCGUCAGCUCGUGUCGUGGGAUGUUGGGUUAAGUCCCGCAACGAGCGCAACCCUUGCCUUUAGUUGCCAGCAGUUCGGCUGGGCACUCUAAAGGGACUGCCGGUGUUAAACCGGAGGAAGGUGGGGAUGACGUCAAGUCCUCAUGGCCUUUAUGACCAGGGCUACACACGUACUACAAUGGCCGAUACAAAGGGCAGCGACACUGCGAGGUGAAGCCAAUCCCGUAAAAUCGGUCUCAGUCCGGAUUGGAGUCUGCAACUCGACUCCAUGAAGUUGGAAUCGCUAGUAAUCGUGGAUCAGCAUGCCACGGUGAAUACGUUCCCGGGCCUU
rnacentral:rRNA from 1 species